rnacentral:rRNA from 1 species
CCUACGGGAGGCUGCAGUGAGGAAUAUUGGUCAAUGGGCGCGAGCCUGAACCAGCCAAGUAGCGUGAAGGAUGACUGCCCUACGGGUUGUAAACUUCUUUUAUAUAGGAAUAAAGUGAGGCACGUGUGCCUUUUUGUAUGUACCAUAUGAAUAAGCAUCGGCUAACUCCGUGCCAGCAGCCGCGGUAAUACGGAGGAUGCGAGCGUUAUCCGGAUUUAUUGGGUUUAAAGGGUGCGUAGGUGGGUUGUUAAGUCAGCUGUGAAAGUUUGCGGCUCAACCGUAAAAUUGCAGUUGAUACUGGCUGUCUUGAGUACAGUUGAGGUAGGCGGAAUGCGUGGUGUAGCGGUGAAAUGCUUAGAUAUCACGAAGAACUCCGAUUGCGAAGGCAGCUUACUAAACUGCAACUGACAUUGAUGCUCGAAAGUGUGGGUAUCAAACAGGAUUAGAUACCCUAGUAGUC